AGACCAAGAUGUGAGGUGUCUUCUGUUGAUUCCAGCUUCCACCUCAGUGACAGUGCAAGCUCAGUGAACUGUUCAAGGAGGCUACUGAUUCUGGCCCUGUGACACUUGGUGGUGACGUGUGAGCUGAUUCACCUGGUAAAUAACUUUUACAUUAAAUAUUUUGUUUCUGCUAUUAAAAGUAAAUUAACUAAUAACCUGCAUUAUUGCAGGACACUCAGCAAAAUAUGGACUCUACACCAUGAGGCAGGCACACGUUAAUACUCUAUAAGAGCACAUAAGCAUGAGGAUGUCCUCACACACCUGUAACCUAUCAGCUCAUCUGGCAGAAUAGAGAGAAGAGACAACACCACAUCUCCUGUUCCUGGAAAGCCUUCAGCCAUCCUUCGAUGACUGAGAACCUCCAUCAGCUCUGUCUCCUGUCUGCCCACAAUUAUUAUAAUAAAUAUUGUGUUUGACAAGUUU